rnacentral:rRNA from 1 species
CCUACGGGAGGCAGCAGUGAGGAAUAUUGGUCAAUGGGCGCGAGCCUGAACCAGCCAAGUAGCGUGAAGGAUGACUGCCCUACGGGUUGUAAACUUCUUUUAUCAAGGGAUAAAGUGAGUCUCGUGUGCCUUUUUGUAUGUACUUUGUGAAUAAGGAUCGGCUAACUCCGUGCCAGCAGCCGCGGUAAUACGGAGGGUCCGAGCGUUAGCCGGAUUUAUUGGGUUUAAAGGGAGCGUAGAUGGGUUGUUGUGUCAGUUGUGAAAGUUUGCGGCUCAACCGUGAAAUUGCAAUGGAUACUGGCAGGCUUGAGUACAGUAGAGGUAGGCGGAAUUCGUGGUGUAGCGGUGAAAUGCUUAGAUAUCACGAAGAACUCCGAUUGCGAAGGCAGCUUACUAAACUGCCACUGACAUUGAUGCGCGAAAGUGUGGGUAUCAAACAGGAUUAGAUACCCGUGUAGUC